rnacentral:tRNA from 1 species
UAAGUUAAUUAAUUUAAAUAAAAAUAUUUAUUUUGAAAAUAAAAAUUAGAAAUAAUAUCUAUUAACUUAU